GGGGGGGUAUUUAGUUUGUCGUAACCCUACAGAGCCUAAUCGGCCGCGCGGUCGGAGAUCAACACGGAUCAUAGGAGCGGCCUCUUUCCCCAUGUUUCCCUCUGCUAAGCUGAUGCCCCCUGCAGUGUCCAAGCGGUACAACCCUGCACAGCGUACAUGACAAUUUCGAUCCACACCAACCAGCAUCUGCUGCUUGUGAAGAAGCUCUCAUCGAUGCGGGUGGACCACGACAUGGUGGCCUGGAUUGGAGGCUACCUCUCAGGCAGGCCACAGUACGUGCGGCUGCAAAGCGGCCUGUCAGAUGUGGUGAUGAGUAACACCAGCGCACCCCAAAGAACAGUACUUUGACCUUUUCUCUUCACCAUCGACACCUCUGACUUCAGCUUCAACUCUGGAACAUCCGACGGAGCAGGAAACCCCACACUCGUAUCCUUGGAGUGGAUAGGAGUUCCUUGGAGUGUGCAUAAACAAUAAACUGAACGGGCCAGACAACACUGAGGCCCUGUAUCGGAAGGGUCAGAGCAGACUCUUCUUCCUCAGGAGGCUCAGGUCCUUUGACGUGUGUGGCAGGCUACUAAAGAUGUUUCAUCUGUCUGUGGUAGCCAGCACACUGUUCUUUGCUGGGGCGUGCUGGCGAGGAGGGUUCACGGCUGGGGAGUCCAAUAGACUCAACAAGCUGGUGAGGAAGGCCAGCUCUGUUGUGGGGCUAGAACUGGACAGUCUGGAGGUAGUGGUGGAGAGGAGGAUAAGGGAAAAAUUCAAAUCCAUCUUGGGUAACCCCUCCCAUCCCCUCUAUGCUGAGCUGCGGCAGAUGGGGAGCCCCUUUAGCCACAAAUUUGUUUCAGAUGUCCUAACGAUAGUAAUGGAUGAUGCCUAUUUAGUUAGGAACAGUCUUAGUUAAAAACAUGCUUUCAUGUACUCACAUCCAGUUUUUGAGUUUACUGCUGAAAAAUUGUUUUGCUUUGUUCUGGUUAGUCCUCUGUUGCCUCCACACCUUUCUUUCACAUCUGCUCUUUUCACUCUUCUCUGAAAACUCUGCUCUUGGAGAACAGACCAACUGGGUUGGGGGCCUGUUUCUUCUUUCAUUCAUUUUCUUCAGUCAUUUGUAGAGGAAACUACAAGUGUGUAUCUGUUGGUCUGAAUUAAG
ensembl:lncRNA